UGGUAGUCCAGUGGCGCUUGAGGGAUUAAACCCAAUACGGUGAACCCUGGUUCGAACCCCGCUGGCCACACGGAUAUGGGCUAUUGCUUUCGGCUCAUUUGAAUGCCCAGGAGAGGGUCUAUCCGUGGGCUGUACCUCCACCCGGGGGUUAGGUCUGUGUCUUUAAUAGACCCGGGUUUAACCCUUUUCAGUUCAAAAAAAA
rnacentral:lncRNA from 1 species